rnacentral:rRNA from 1 species
GAAAGCGUGGGGAGCGAACAGGAUUAGAUACCCUGGUAGUCCACGCCGUAAACGGUGGAUGCUGGAUGUGGGGCCCGUUCCACGGGUUCCGUGUCGGAGCUAACGCGUUAAGCAUCCCGCCUGGGGAGUACGGCCGCAAGGCUAAAACUCAAAGAAAUUGACGGGGGCCCGCACAAGCGGCGGAGCAUGCGGAUUAAUUCGAUGCAACGCGAAGAACCUUACCAAGGCUUGACAUAUACCGGAAACAUCCAGAGAUGGGUGCCCCGCAAGGUCGGUAUACAGGUGGUGCAUGGUUGUCGUCAGCUCGUGUCGUGAGAUGUUGGGUUAAGUCCCGCAACGAGCGCAACCCUCGCCCUGUGUUGCCAGCACGUCAUGGUGGGAACUCACGGGGGACCGCCGGGGUCAACUCGGAGGAAGGUGGGGAUGACGUCAGAUCAUCAUGCCCCUUACGUCCAGGGCUUCACGCAUGCUACAAUGGCCGGUACAACGGGAUGCGACCUCGUGAGGGGGAGCGGAUCCCUUAAAACCGGUCUCAGUUCGGAUUGGAGUCUGCAACCCGACUCCAUGAAGGCGGAGUCGCUAGUAAUCGCGGAUCAGCAACGCCGCGGUGAAUGCGUUCCCGGGCCUUGUACACACCGCCCGUCAAGUCAUGAAAGUGGGUAGCACCCGAAGCCGGUGGCCCAACCUUUUGGGGGGAGCCGUCUAAGGUGAGACUCGUGAUUGGGACUAAGUCGUAACAAGGUAGCCGUACCGGAAGGUGCGGCUG